AUCGGGUAUGGUAACGUGGGCUUGCAACCCGAGCGGGGGCUUCGAGGUCGACGGAGAUUGGCUCGGCUGGGGUUGGUGGAGCCUGAUGGGGUUAAUUUGUUGGCUUGUGCCCGCUCAAGUUGGAAGUUGAGUCCCGACAUCCAGGCGAAGGCUUGGAUGGCGUGGCUCCUAGAGUGGCGGAGACCGCGACCUCCCGCUCGUCCAUGGAAGGAAAACCAGCCGGUGCUCCACAGGUCCCAAGAACUCCUCCUCAGCCGCUCACAAUCUGACAUCCACCAUU
rnacentral:SRP_RNA from 11 species